AGUGAACAGAGAAUAGUCCAUCGCUAAAUCAUUUUGCUUCAGGCAUUAUGAGGUGUAGCGUAUAAGCCGAAUUUUUUGAUCUUUUGUCUCAACAAGUCCCCUUGACAGGGGUUCCACAGAAGGUGCAAGUCCUGUACAUUGAGAUAAUUGAUCGAUAUCUGCGUGCUUUAGAGUCGGGUUGUUUGGGAUCGCAGCCCAAAGUCGGUGGUAAACUUCAUCUAAGACUCAAUAUUGCUACGAGACCGAUAGCAAACAAGUACUGUGAAGGAAAGUUGCAAAGCACUUUGAAGAGAGAGUUAAAGAGGACGUGAAACCGGUGAGGUGGAAACGGAUAGAGUCGGCGUAUCUUUCAAGUAUUCAUUUACAUUAUUAUUGUGUUGUGAUCUCUGAGCUCCAGAUUGGGACAGAAAGAAGCAGCAUAAUUUUCUGUGAUGCAUUUACUUGUUUGGUGCUUGGGGAUGUUUGAGGCAGAUUUGUAACCGCCGUUUUGAGGCCAGCUUGCUGGUACCCAAACGGUGUUAGCAUUUUUUGUCUUGGCCAUUUGAGUAUGGCUUACAGGCAUUUAUUGGUUCGAUCUGAGUGUAAGUUACGGUCGCUUGCGACACGUGCUUUUCAAUUAGUUCGGUCCAGUUAAUGCUCUCGUACUCCUUCCCCAUGUAAAAGCCGGUCAUCUAUCCGACCCGUCUUGAAACACGGACCAAGGAGUUUAUCGUGUGCGCAAGUUUUUUGGUGUUAAAAACCGAAAAGCGAAAUGAAAGUAAAUGGCUCUUUAGAGUCUGAUGUGCGAUCUUGUAAAAAAGUGCAGCAUGGCCACAUUCUAACUGUUUACAGUAGGGUGGCGGAAGAGCGUACGCGGUGAGACCCGAAAGAUGGUGAACUAUUCCUGAGCAGGACGAAGCCAGAGGAAACUCUGGUGGAAGUCCGAAGCGGUUCUGACGUGCAAAUCGAUCGUCUGACUUGGGUAUAGGGGCGAAAGACUAAUCGAACCAUCUAGUAGCUGGUUCCCUCUGAAGUUUCCCCCAGGAUAGCUGGAGCUCACGAGUAGUUAUACUCGGUAAAGCGAAUGAUUAGAGGACUUGGGAACGAAAUGUUCUUAACCUAUUCUCAAACUCUAAAUGGGUAUGAUGUCAAAGUUGCUUGAUUAUGAACUUUGGCGUUGAAUACGAGCUCCAAGUGGGCCAUUUUUGGUAAGCAGAACUGGCGAUGUGGGAUGAACCAAACGCGGAGUUGCGGUGCCAAAGUACCCGCUCAUUAGACCCCAUAAAAGGUGUUGGUUGAUACAGACAGCAGGACGGUGGCCAUGGAAGUCGGAAUCCGCUAAGGAGUGUGUAACAACUCACCUGCCGAAUCAACUAGCCCUGAAAAUGGAUGGCGCUGGAGCGGGUCACCUAUACUCUGCCGUCAUAUGCUUGUAUUUUCUGUGAAAAGUCUUGCAAUGACGUGUAAGAGGGUCGUAGUGGUUGCGUUGAAGGCUUUGGGUGUGCACCCAGCUGGAGCUUCCACUAGUGCAGAUCUUGGUGGUAGUAGCAAAUAUUCAAGUGAGAUCCUUGAAGACUGAAGUGGAGAAGGGUUCCACGUGAACAGUAGUUGAAUGUGGGUCAGUCGAUCCUAAGGCACCGGCUAAAGCCGUCUAGACACUGCGGGGAGAUGAGAUACUUAACGGUAUUUUGUCUACCUGGUUGCCGAAAGGGAAGUGGGUUAAUAUUCCCACACCAGGCAUGGGAGAUGGUGAUCCGCGAGGAUUACUUUGCGCGGUGACGCAAACGAACUCGCAGACCUCGUGUGGAGUCCGGGCCAGAGUUCUCUUUUCUGGUUUAGAAAUCAUGUCCCUGGAAGUGGCUCAGCCUGAGAUAGGGAUGCUGGUCUUGUAAAGCGCAGCGGUUCCUGUUGUGUCCCGUGUGCUCCACAUGAGCCGUGAAAAUGCGAGGGAGGCAAUUUAAAAUCUCCUGCCUGAUCGUACCCAUAUCCGCAGCAGGUCUCCAAGGUGAACAGCCUCUAGUCGAUAGAAUAAUGUAGGUAAGGGAAGUCGGCAAAUUAGAUUCGUAACUUCGGGAAAAGAAUUGGCUCUAAAGGUUGGGUCAGUCGGGCUGUUGUGUGAAACAGGUGGACUGCUCGUGGCUGCUUGCGCUUCUCUUCGGGGCGGCGCUUGUGGACUAGUAGUGAGGACUGCUUGUGGAGCGCUUCAGCUGCGUGCUAUUUCGCAAGAUAUAGUACUUCGAUUGGCGCUGAACAACCAGUUUAGAACUGGCACGAACUCCGGGAAUCCGACUGUCUAAUUAAAACAGAGGAGACGGAUGGUCCUUGCAGGACGUUGACCGUGUCUGAUUUCUGCCCAGUGCUCUGAAUGUUAAGCCAAGGAAACUUGAUUAAGCGCGGGUAAACGGCGGGAGUAACUAUGACUCUCUUAAGGUAGCCAAAUGCCUCGUCGGCUAACUACCGACGCGCACGAAUGGAUCAACGAGAUUCCCACUGUCCCUAUCUACUAUCUAGCGAAAACCACAGCUUUGUAUAACUUCGUAUAUUUUAUUUUAUACGAAGUUAUUACGUUAAUUUGUGCGAACUGCAGAAACCUUGAGCACAAAAGUUUUGAACGCAUAUUGCCGCAUUGGGGUCAAACCCUUUGCUACGUCUGGUUCAGGGUCAUUAUCUUUUAAAGCGAAAGUUUUAAUUUUA
rnacentral:rRNA from 1 species